rnacentral:rRNA from 1 species
AUUGAACGCUGGCGGCAGGCCUAACACAUGCAAGUCGAGCGAGCGGCGGGCGGGUGAGUAAUAUGUGGAGAUCUCCCCGAUAGAGGGGGAUAAAUACUGGAAACGGUGGCAAAUACCGCAUACUAUCGGGUGCACCCAUAUGGGAUUCGCUAGUAGGUGGGGUAAAGUCUCACCUAGGCGACGAUCUCUAGCUGGUCUGAGAGGAUGAUCAGCCACACUGGGACUGAGACACGGCCCAGACUCCUACGGGAGGCAGCAGUGGGGAAUAUUGCACAAUGGGCGCAAGCCUGAUACAGCCAUGCCGCGUGUAUGAAGAAGGCCUUAGGGUUGUAAAGUACUUUCAGCGGGGAGGCGUUACCCGCAGAAGAAGCACCGGCUAACUCCGUGCCAGCAGCCGCGGUAAUAC